rnacentral:rRNA from 1 species
UACGUAGGUGGCAAGCGUUAUCCGGAUUUAUUGGGUGUAAAGGGCGUGUAGGCGGGAAAGCAAGUCAGAUGUGAAAAAUCAGGGCUCAACCCUGAGCCUGCAUUUGAAACUGUUUUUCUUGAGUGCUGGAGAGGCAAUCGGAAUUCCGUGUGUAGCGGUGAAAUGCGUAGAUAUACGGAGGAACACCAGUGGCGAAGGCGGAUUGCUGGACAGUAACUGACGCUGAGGCGCGAAAGCGUGGGGAGCAAACAGG